rnacentral:lncRNA from 1 species
CCAAAUCGCAAAUCUCAAUGCAAUAAAAAUAAAUGCGAAAAAUAAAAAUAGCACACUGAGAUUUACGUGGGAAACUCCAAUUUGAAGAAAAACCCACGGGACCAACACACAAAACACAGUCCACUAAUAGAAAAGAUUACAGGGUGAUUACCGACUCCACGGACUCGACCUUUCUUAACCUCCUAUGGAUCUCGUGCAAGCCUCCAGGUUGUCCACGCCUUCACGUUCGAAUCCACGAACGCCACGCACACGUCUGAAUCCACAAAAGCCACUCGAUUCCACGAGCUCACAAUCCGAAUCCUCGAACCGCCUUUGAUCACGCCGAAUCCACGACGCUGUACAUGAAGAAUAU